UUCACCAUGUUGACCGGGAUGGUCUCGAUCUCUUGACCUCGUGAUCCACCCGCCUCGGCCUCCCUAAGUGCUGGGAUUACAGGCUUGAGCCACCGCGGCCGGCCUUGAGCACUUUUUAUGUCCAGGAAUACCAAGAUAAUUAGCACACAGUACCCGAGUUAUGAAUGGUCUCAGUAUGAAUCAUAUUCAUGCUUCAGAACUGAGCUCAACCCUUCAAGUCCAAAGGGAAAUCUUCUCUCAUUGGUCCUACUAUUAGGGAAUAGCACUGUCCUGUAUACUAACUGAUCUCUUUCUAAAAUUGCACAUUAUAAUUAGUUGUUUAGAGCUUUAUCUCCCUUCUAGGCUCUGAGCUUGCAAGACAGGGACUAUGUCCUAUCCACAUAUUUCAGAUGCCAAGCUUAGUGCCUGAUUGAAGUAGUCCUUCAGUCAAUAUUUGUAGAUUUUAAUUUACUGCAAUAUGCCUGAAAAGUCUUUGGGUUGUAGAUUCUUCAUCUAUUCUCUGACUUAAAGUUUUCAUCAGUCGAAUAUUUGCUAUACUAUUUAUCAUGCUAUUUGCCAUGUAUAGUAAAAAUUACACUCUGAUAUAAUUACAUUUCUUGCUUAGAUUAGGUAGACUUAUUUGAGAAAUGCUGAACCAAUUAUAGGUAUUUUGAAAGGAAAAUCAUAGUGCAAAUAUGUAUUUUCCAGGGUCUGAUAAUCUAAUCUGUAGAUCGUUUUGUAUGUUCAGCGACUCCCCCAAUAUCUCUCUCUAAAAAUAUCAUGGUAUCUUGAGUGUCAGUAACCCUUCGACUUCUUUUUCUUCAGAUAUUCACAGGCAUGCAGUCCCUCAGAUUUCAUCGUUUCUCACAACAACAGCCCCAUACGACCAGCAACUCAGAAACCCUGAUCUGUCACGACAACCUCCCAUUCUUUCUUGUACCUUCUCCAUUUCCUCCACCUUUCUGAAACAAGAGCCUGUUUCCAUCAGAUGUCUUCAUGCUCUGGAUUCCCUGUUAUGCUUCCGCUUGUGCUUAGUGAUCCCUUUCUAGCUUUCUGGUCUUUAUUUGACUGCCUAUGUUAUUCCUCCUGAACAAGGCUCUUCACUUUUUUUUUUUUUUCCCAACCCUUCUCGGCUAUGUAUUCUAAACCCUUGCUCUUUGUAAGUAACAUCUUUUAUUUUGCCGCAAGGGCUUCCACAGCUUCCUCCCAUUCCUAACAGGGAAACUCCACCUUCUUUCCUAACCUGGUCUUCUCUAAUCCCUUUCAUCUGUCCUUCUGACCUCCACACUAGUCUUUGAUUUUCAGUCUUCCUUUCUACCAAUCUAUUUAUUUCUGCACAAAAGCAUAUUAAAUUAUCCCCUACCUUCUUAAUAUUUUCCUCUAAAGGUUUUUUCUCUUCCUUCAGCUCAUGGCCUAGAGCUGAAAAGUUCCUGCCAGGUUAGGGUCAUAGUUAAUGGACUCAACAGUAAUCAACAAGUUACUUGAAUUUGCUAGUCUGUCUAGCAGCCUGAUUUGCAAACAUUUUUUAUUACAAGAAUACUUUGACCAUUUAAUAUUAAUAGAAACUUCAGAACUAGCCAGUUUAAUAUUUUCAGCUUUCACGAUUACUUCAGUCUGCCUGAUCUUUCCUUCUUAAAAUUUUUUAGGCACCUGUGUCAUUCAUUUUUGCAGCUAUCUUGUUAAUUCACAAAAUUAACAAACCAAAAGUUCUUUAGAGACCUAUUUGUUCUGACACAAAAAUCACUUUACAUAUUCUUUACUGCAAUUGACAGCCCUGACAAAUGGUUAUGUUUCUCUCAUGUAGUUGCUACAUUUACCUUAGUAUUACUCCACAUUUUCACCCUGGUUUGCCCACGUAUCUAAGUUCAGUCAGGGUGGACUAUUUUUGUCUUGCCUUACCCAAGAUUAUACACCUAACUUGUUUCCUCGUACUGAUUAAGUGCUCUUUCUAGACCAGAUCCCUAGAUUACCUGCCUAUUUUUCCCAAGAAGACUGCACAUUCUACCAUGGCUGGAACUUGUCUUCAACCAAGCCUCUUACUGUCUCUAUAUUUCCCAGAUUACUGCUGAAUCUGGGGGUCAACAUUUACUAAUUCAUGUCAUGAUAUUUAUAAAAUAUCUAAAAAGAAAGUCUGUUAAAAUAAAUGUUUGUAUAUUCUUUAUGGUGAAAUAUUAUUAUGACAUUGAAAGUCAGGCCUUCAAAGAAUAAUUAAUGACACAAAAUAGCUUAUGAGAUUUAUUAGAAGGCCUAAAGUACUAAUAACAUGAAAGUUGUUUUUUUUUUUUUUUUUUAAAUAAUUAAGUCCUUCAGAUUGGGAAGAAAAUAUAGGAACCCAUAAGCAGUCUCAGCUUUUGGUUACCCUAUCUUUACCCCUUUCUCUCUGAUGAACUUUUUCAUUUAAUACAUCUCUGCCACUUUAAUUUUUUAAAGAUCUCCUCUACACAAAGCACCUUUAUAUUUCCCUUCUAGUUACCAUUAGAUGUCUGUUUUUAAGUGAUUAGUAUCCUGUGAAUGUUAAGGAGCUGUGCUUUCUACAUGCUGGUUUACUGGAAACUGAAAACUAGAGUUAUCAAGUAACUAUCUGGCAUUGCUCUCUCAUUUUCUAUUUUUCUAUUUUUAUAUAAUUUUUUUAUAUUUUUCUGGUCAAUGUAGUGGAAAUUGUUGGCACAAAAUAAGUAAAUACACUGGAGACUUUCUGUAAUGUAAUACAGAUUUUAUGCUGUGGAAGCAUCGUGUUUUGUGACACUAAGUGCUCAGUACAUAUUAGUUGUUAUUAUAACUAAUUUCCUAUUAUAAAGGGAUGCACAAUAAUCUUAUAGUUAUGUAAAAAGAGGGAUGUAUUAACUUUUUUCGCCUGAAUUGCUCAGCUUGCAAUUUAUUAUAGAGUUUAGUAAAUAGCUUUGAGUUUUGCUUUCUUUGAAAGGUAGCAUCAGUCUUUUGUGGUGCCUACUUAAGUUGCUUUGCUCUGCAGCAAUUGCUUUUUAAUGCUAAAAUCAGAGAUAACGUAAGCAAGAAGGAGAGCAGGCUAAUUUAAAAUUCUCCAUUUGGGUUAUAUGAACAAGUAAUUGAUUAUGCUUUGAUCUUUCUGGUUUUACCUGUCCGUUGAAAUCUAAGGUGGCUGGAAACAAAAUUGUCCUCAUUUCCUGGUAAUGGAUUAGAAAGGUUCUAAUUUGGGGUGCCUUAAACAGAUUCUGACACUUUGAGAAUGGGUAACAGUGACCGUUUGAUUUUUAUUUAGAGGGAACAGUUUAUCUCAACCCUACUAGCUGAAAGGAGAUAAUGUCAGCUGAAGUAAAAUACCAGAAUGGCUUCUUUUUAUUACUGCUCAAUUUUCCUGAGCAUUUGGGGAGGUAAAUAUCUCUACAUCUAUUAACUGUACUUUUUAAAAGUUGACUUUUCUCCUCAGGACAAUUUUCAAGUGGAGGUAGAAUUGGCUGGUGAAAGAGACCUUUACCUCACAGUUUCAGUUUUAUUAUAAAUUGCCCAUUAGUGCAUUAGAAAUGAAGUGAAGGAGUGAGUAGAAUUAUAACUAUUCUUUUAUUCUUUUUGUUCUAAUCCUGCCACUGAAUUUUUCUUUUCUUUUUUUUUUAAUAUAUGAACUCGUAUGAAAGAUGUUGAAGAAAUUGAAUACAUUAUUGGUUAAGUUGUCAGGAAUAGAAUGAUCUUCAAAUAUUCAUUUUUCUGAUAUCAAAACUGAACAAAGCCUCACACAUAUUUGGAGUUAAACUGUUUCACCUUGUACAUUGAAUAUAAUCUUGCACAUCUAAAAAAUAGCUGGUAAUGUACUCAUCUAAACGAUGUCAUCCUUUUGUGAAGCACAUAUUUUCUUGAGAGAUUAGAGCUUAGAGAAUAAAAAUUAAGUGACUACUAAAACUUAAUAGGAAGGCGGAGUCAGAAUGAAAAAAAUGGCUGAGGGCUGAAGUCUUUGUUUAUGUCAGCUUACAUAAUCAACACCUUCUCUUUAUCAAAUUAUUGAACACGUGAGUAAUAACAAUUUUAUGAUGAAAUGUGAUAUCUUCUAGAGAGCUUGUAUAUAAAUUGCACAGUCUUAUGUUCCCAAAGGAUGCUGGACCCUUGAAAGAAACACAGGAUUAUACACAUUUUAGAGAGUGGCUAAGUAGCUGGAAAAAUUUAUAAAAGGAAGCUCACAUCAGUGUAUCUCUCCUAGAAAUUAAACCAUUUGGAUUCUCGUUACUAAAAAUUCUUUGGUAGGAGACCAAGUUUGAGUUAUUGUUCAAAAUUGGGCUACUGGCAGUGUUUCAAGGGUCAAUUCUGUAAUUAAUCCUUAUGUGACUAUCUAAUUUAUUGCUAGUAGAAACAAAUAGUCUGGUUCUUUGACACAUAAUUUAAGGCAGAACAGUCUGGGGCUUCCUUUUCUAAUGUAAUAGAACUAAUGUUUUGUCUUUAGCACAGAGUUUAUUGCCACUUCCUAUGUAAGGCAUGAAUUUGUGAUUUUUAACUAUGAUUUUGUUAUUUUAAAAUUUCCACUACUUAGGUAUUCUUUCUCUCUCUCUUCUCUUGCUCUCUCAGAAUUAAGUCCCUUUCUAAUGUUUUUAUUUUUGUCCAAAUUAUAGAUGUAUUAUAUUGUUGGGGAAAAAAAGAAAGAAAGAACAGAUUUGGGAUGCUAAAAGAUAAUAAUAAUACUUGUGUUUUUUUUUUUUUUAAAUGUGUUACCUACCGGUUCAAAUAUGUUCAGGUUUUCGAAAACUAGACCCAAGUUGAGUCAAUUCUAGUAUUACCAGCAUUACCGUAGUUUGAAUAGAUGACCCAGAUCAUUCUUUUCUUUUUUAUUUUACCUUUUUUGAGAUGGAGUCCCACUCUGUCACCUGGAGUGCAGUGGAGUGAUUUUAGCUCACUGCAACCUCCACCUCCUGGGUUCAAGAGAUUCUCCUGCCUCAGACUCUAGUUGCUGGGAUUACAGGCAUGCACUGCCAUCCCUGAAUAAUCUUUGUAUUUUUAGUAGAAAUGGGUUUUACCAUGUUAGCCAGGCUGGUCUUGAGACCUAGAACAUUCUUAAGCAUUUUACAUGUUUUCAUAUUAGCCUAAUUUAUCUUGAUGUUGAGUUCUUCCCUUCUUCUCACAGUGUAAAAUAUUUGCAAAUAAUUUAUUGCUCAACAUUAUUUUUCAGCCUGUACUCUGCCAGUGGUAUCACUACCAUUUUAGGUGAAAGAUUUGCUUAACACACCAUCAUUGUUGUUUUUAAAAUUAUUUUCAUUGGUCAUACCAAACAAGUGAAAUCCUGUGUAGAUUUCUACUACUUUCAACUCCUCCACAUUUCAGCACUCUUUUUUAGAAAUUUUUGUGAUGUUGGAAAUUUCCUAUAAUAUGCACUGUCCAAGUAUGACACCAAAAUCCAGAGAAUAUGUGCUUUGCAUCAGAGUUUUAGAAAUAGCUUUGAAGACAAUAUAAAAAAAUAAGUAUUGCUGUUCCAUUAUCUUUUUGCAUUCAGAAGUUUUGAUUCUAACCACUCUCCCACACUACUAAGGUGUUAAUGAAAAUGAACACUAUUGUUUUCAGGAAUCUGUUAAAUAAUCAGAUUGAGAAUAGUUAUUAUCAUUUUACAUAUUAACCCAUAAAAUAUUAAACAUAUUCCUGUUGCUUUUUUCUGCUGCCGGUUCUACCACCACCAUUUUUUUUAGGAUGAAAUAUACACUGGCAUACAUGGUGUUUAUGCAUGUAAUCUCCACAACAAAUGUGGAAUACUGAGUGAGCCUGUUAUAGAUAGAAUAACAGCUUCUUUCCUGGCUUCUCUAUACUAUGGACAAAUUCUUACUUUAUCUGAAUUUAGAAGUACUUGAAAUUGCAUUCAAAUUCAACUUGUAGGGCAUUGAAUGAGUGACAGUUUUCUCUCAUAGGUUUUCUGUAUCUUAUGAGAAAUUUUACUAUACAGUCCCUGUAUGUACAUAGGGAGAACGGAUCUGCUUUCACUAAAGCCAGAAGAUGCCAGAAGAUCUAACUGUAAGAUACUUUAUUUCUGGUAAAAUUGAAAGUUUUUUUGCUUUCCGGAGCUGCCUCUUAUUCAGCCAUCUUGGGAUCCUCCCCCCUUGAAACCUUUUAAGCCUUUUGCCUUUCCCUUUCCUUAACAAUUCUUAUAUAUUUCUGUUAAGAGUAAAGCUUGCACUUAGUGGUAUAUUUUGGAAUAUGUUGGGAUUCUCUGAGAACAAUUUUUCUUUCUCCCUUAAAUUUUGGAUCUGAUCUUGGAAAAACAAAAUCAAAAGGUUUAUCACAGGGGAUUUGCGUGAUUCAAAUAGGAUCAAAGUGCCUAGAAACAAUAGCUUGGCUAAUUGUUCAUUGGAAGGACAAUGCAGAUGUUUAAAUAAACAUGGAAGUAACAUGAUUCCAAUGAACUGUAGAUGUUUCAGAAUCAAGAACACAACAAAGACAACAAAAAACCAAAAACUCAAAGCAUAGAAACUGAUGGUGGUAAACCAAACCUGCUAUCUGAAUUCAUUACAGAAGAUAAAAAAUAACCUUUUACUAAUCUUUGCUGAGAACAGACUAAAUGCUCUAAAACAAUGUAUUAUUUUAACAGUUAUUAAAAAUAUGUCUAAUUUACAUUAACAUAAUAUGUAGUAGCAAAUAAUUUACAUGCUCUUUUUUCUGUGAUUCUAUUUUAUGAGUAAGUCUAUCAACUUGCCAAAAUUUCACACAUGCCAUUAUUUCUUUUCAGGCUCAUUAUUUUCUGGUGUUAUCAAACUAAGUCAGCUCUCAACUCUUACACAACUUGUACACACUCGAGUUUUAUCUUUCACUAUAACUUUUCAUAUUACAAAGCAACCAGACACUUUACUUUGAAAACUUCCUUAAUAAAAAAAAUUCCACUUGACAAACGAAGAACAUAUUCCAUAGCUUGGUUACAUAGUUGAACUUUUCUGCCCCAUUGCUUGUAUAAAGUAUGAAGCACCCGUAUGAGUUAUAACAGAGAGAGCUAAGAGGUUGAUAUUUGAGAUAUGUCUGUCAUUUACAGUCAUUUUCACAGAUAUGCAAAGCUCAUAAAUGCCAUCACACAGUCUCCUACGGUCAUACUCAUUGAUAUUACACUUUCUUAAUGUGGGAAAAGGUACUUAUAUUAUAAGGACUCAAAGAUAUAGCCAUGCUGUAAUUCUAAUAGGUUAGUGAUUAAUUUGUCAAUACCCUAUUUUACUUAGAAAUUCACCAGUUGACUAAAAAUAAUCCAUUAAAUUGACUCAAUUAUGUUUAACCUGACUAACCGCAGCACAUAAUUAUUGUUGAUAUAAAAAAAUUUUGGUUGAAUUCAUAGUUUUAUGUCAUUCUCAAUGCUUUACGUUGUUAGAGAAAUGCUAGCAGUAAACUUUUAUAAGUUUAUAGGUUUAGAUUAAUUAGUCUCUAUGAAGACAUUAAACCAAAUUUUAUUUAAAAAAUAAUCAUAAUCUUGGAUUAUACUUAAUAUUGGUAAAAUCAGGGAAAGAUAUGUAAUGUUUUCAAACAAAAAUUAUCAAAAUUGUCAUAGUAAUUUAAAUAUUUACCUCAAUUACAUAAAACUGGUUUAUAUCCUUCUACAAAAAUGCUCUGAGGUUGCAUCUUCUAUAAAGAUUGUUAUUUUUAAAAUAAAGUAUUAGGACAUUUAAAUUUUGAAAGUUCAGUAAUUUAUUUUUUAUUUUUGGAUUUCUGAGAACAUUAAAUGAAUGUGGUUAUUAAUCUCCCUAAACAAUCAUAACAGAACUCAUUAUUAGAGAUAUUACUGUAUAAUUUAUUAACACAUUGUGGAUAUAGGAAAACAUCUGACAUUACAGUGAGAGAUGAAGUUCUUUCUAAAUUAAAUAAACACAGAAACACAGAGAGCUUUCAGCUUCUACAACCCCAGCCUUGGUUCAAGAGUAAACAAACACAAACACUCACUGCUUUAAAUGUGAAUUUUUUUAUUCUUUUUUUCCAUGGGUAUGAAAUAUGUUCUUGCACACACAAAUCAAUACAAGAAACUAACAAGAUACAAUCUCUGCUGCCUCUCAUCCAAUGGAUACUAGAGAAUCGUAGUUAGAGAUCACCAAAUGGUCAGCAGUAGGAUUCACUAUCAUUGCCAUCACCAACUAGGAAUAACUUAUUUGCUAUGUGCACACCAGAAGAAGAACCAAACAAGUAGGCCAGGAACCAGAAAUAGCAACAAACACAGGAUAAGAAAGAGAAAUAGAGGACUCUUAUGGAAGGUAAAGUUCUCAUAUUAUUAUGUUCUAUUGUUUUGGAUUGACUCAUGCGACCAAAGAAACGUGUGUCUUUGCUUAAAUAUUUCUAGUAGGUAAGUCACUUCUGGGAGGCAUAAGAGUGAAACUUCCAAAACUGUCAAAGAAUAGUUAUGAAAAAGUUUGAAACAUCACACAUGUACAAACAUAGAAUAAACAUAUAUUAAAAUUUUAACUCAUUAACAAGGAAAAUAGUGAGAUAGAAAAACUGCUUUAAAGUAAAAUCACAGGAACGUGACAUUCUGACGUUAAUACUGUCCAAUAAGGUAAUGGAACAUUAACCUUUGAGGUUAUCAUUUCUCUUUGAGAGAAAUUUACUAUGUAACUUCCCAGAGUCUAAAACUUUAAUUAAUAGUAAAUAGCAAAGUCAAACACAAGUAUAUUCCCUUAGAUAAUUAAAUAACCGUUUUGUGAGCCUGUCAUAUAGUCCCCAGUGUAUAUUAAAAGAACAUGCCAUCUACUUUUUAUUUUUUGCCUCGUUUCCAAGUUUUGCAUAAUUUUUUGUAGCAGUGCUAACAGAAAAAUGUUAGAUGUCAACUUAAAAAUAUUCAUGUUAAAAUUAGUUUUUCAAAACCUACAUAAAUAAUAAGUUUGACUACUGAGUAGAUUAUACUUGUCAUUUAGUUCAUCUCCCAGCAGGUUAAAUGGCUUUACCAAGAAUCUAUAGCUAGUUAUAGGGAGAAGAGCGGAAAGAUAAAUGAGGUGAGAUGAGCCUGGAAAAUACCCAGUUCUAUGUUCUCUCUUUUUUCUGUACUUUCAUUGCUCUUUAGUCUAUUUCUUCUGAUCUCUUAGGACAAAAAAUGUAUGUGUGUAUGUACAGAGCAUUCCUGGAACUUAGACCUAAGGAUAAUUGUCUUGAAACUGCUGACAGGAUAAAAACCUCAUAUAAUUAACACUGCCAAUCACAAUCAGGACAUAUAUUAAUGCUGUUUUUGAAAGGCGUUUCCAUCUCGUCUGUUGAUGAAUUUGCAAAACAAUUAUGAUUACAUUGACAGUGAAGAGGUAUGUAUGUGAAUGAGUGCCUAGAAUCUAGGUGUGUAUUUCCCUCUUUGCUGAGUUGAAUAUUUUAGAUGGAAUUUAAUGGGAACUAGAAAUGUCGUGAGUUACUGCCAAAAUGUAGUCAACGAAUUUUACAAAAAGCAUUUCUUUAGAAGCGUAUUUUAGAUUGUUUUGUUUAGUAAUUUAUAUUUUAGAAUUUUGGAAAAACAUUAUGUUCGAUAUGAUUGAGCUUUCUUUUCUUUUGAACUGUCGUAGAACUUUACUCUGUAAUCUUAUGUUUUCAGUAAAUAUAGACUUAAGCAAGACCUUUUUAUUUAUUUUGCUUAGUUUUUAUUUCUUUUCAUAUUGUUAUCAAUGUUGUCUGCACCAUGUGGGACAAAACCUUUUGAAUUUGAGGUUACAGUACAGAAAAUAUUUUUAUGUAUCCUGAAAUUUUUGUCCAAAUAAUUUAGCAGUUUUUUUGUUGGCACCACAUCUAUUGUGUAUUAAAUACAUGGGAAAUAAAACAAAAUAUACAUAAUUUAAAACUCCAGCUCUUAAUUUUUUAAUCCAAUGAUCAUCUAUUGAAAUGGACUUAGAGCCACUAAAUCAAUUAUGUUGAAAGAGAAUCUUUUUAUUAGGUUUUUAUUUAUUCCAACCCCUUAACUGGGACAUGAUUUCUAAAGGAAACAUAUUUCAAAUUGACAUAGUGGAUUUCAAAAUUAAUUAAAAAUUAAUUUUAAAGGAUUACUACAUUGAGCACUUAUGCUGGUAAAUCCUUCCGGAUAAUUUUGUUAAGAAGUUAUGCUCAUCUGAAGGAUGUGUUUCUAUUUAGUUUUGCACAAUGUAUGCCUUUAUAACUAAAAUGUCAUUUUUUAAAUGACACAUUUGCUUUUUCGUUUUUUUUCUCUUGUCCAAUUUACUGUCCAUGAAAAUACUACUUAGAGUUAAUAAGAACAAUAAAAAUAGCAGACAAAACAGUUCUAAAAUAUUACCUUUAAAAAUAAUACAUUAAAGAAAUUUUAAUGGAAUUUUCAUCACAGGACUUUGCUGGACAUGUGUAACUACUGCACAUGUGUUAAAGAGGUCCUUUAGGAAAAUGCAUUGGAAAGUGUUUCAUAAUAGCACGUAAGAUGGAUAACCUUGACCAACAUACUUUACACGUGACUGUUUAUGAACAUUUGAUUUGCUGAUGUGGUGUGAGAAGAAGUUUAAAUUUGUGACAGUUUAGUUUGAUGUUGGCAAAAAGCACUGCAGAGAAAGUAACACCUUUACUCUUCUAACCUCUUUUUUUAAGAUGAUCGAAGCUAUGCCUUCAGAGUUUCUUUAACUCUAAUAAAUAUAUCCAUUGUUCCUAAUAAUUUUCUCCAUUUACACUAACAUCUAUAAGGGUUGAUCCAGGUUUUGUGUAGCUGAAAGCUUGUCAAAUUUGGAAGCUCCACUCUAGGAAAAAUAAUUCAUAAUUUUGGAUAUACCAUUUGGCCAAAAAUUAAAAUUUGUAUAGAAUGAGAAAAUAAGUCACAGUAAAUUAUGGAAUUUAAAACUUUAACAAAUACCAUCAUGAAAAUCCAGAAAAAUAGCAUAUGUGUUUAUUAUCUUUCUGAUAUCUCUAUAAUCUUUUUCUCUCACAUUUUUAUAGUUUUGUUCUUUGAUCACCUAAUCAUAUGUUGAGACUUUUGUAAUAGUUUCUAGAAGGAGAAUAGUUUCUGUUUUAGCCUGCAAUAACAAAACAUGUAUUUUUUAUUUUUGAUAUUACAGGAUAGUUUCCUUUAGCUUUACAACUCAUUAUUGGUGUGUGAUUUAAAUUUAUAGUAUUGCCAUUCAAUAUGGAAGCACUUCCCAUCAGAUUUCUUUCAUAUAUAACUAUAAGGUUUGAUAUAUUUUCUGUAGGCUAACUUACGGAUCUGUGCAUUUUAAACCUUGUUGCUUUUCUAUUACCAAGAAUUGUGUAUUGCUGGGCACUGUUGGAAAGUUUCUUCUUGGGAUAUGACCUCUGGCCAUUCAUUUUCCUGUCCUCACACCUGGUGGAUAUUUGGAAGCUUUUCCUACACCAGAGUGGCUUGCUGAAUGAUUCUUUUGGAUCCAGUUUUAGUGUGGGUUCUUAAAAGUUUUACUACGCAGUUAGGCAAUAAUCAAAAUUAACACAAAUGCAUUUAUCAAACAAACCCUGUUAACCAGGAGUAAAAGUGUCAAACAGUACAACAAUCAAGGCCAUUCUUUGUCAUGAUCAAGAGCACAGAGUCUAGAGUCAAACUGACAAAGGUUUGAGAUUGAUGAAAGAUUAUCAGGUGACUUUUUGGUUCUCCUACGUAGUCUGGAAAUCAGCAUUUGGAUCUUUAAACUUUAACAUGGGUAGGAUACCAAGCAUGCUUUAAAGUUAUUCUCUUUCCAUGCAGAAAGACAUAAUUUUUAAUAUAUCGUAACAUUAAUUCAUACCAUUAAUCUGACUUUUUUUCCCUCUGCAUAUUAAAUCAUAGAAGCUUCUUUUCACAACAACUUUUGUUGUUGUAAUGUUAUCCUAAUGUUGCUAAUCCACAGAACUCUUAUGACAUCCUUUGGCAUCGUCCCUCUCUUUCAUUUUAAUAAUAACUGUUGUAUAGAAUUUCUAUAAGGAAAGUUCUCAACUACCAUGAUCUUCUUAUAAUAAUCAUACUUUCUUCAUAGAGUCAUAGGAGACAUGUCUAGUUAAAGUACCUUACUGAGAAGGUGUGUAUUUAUGCAAAGCUUUUGAGGGGCUUUUAAAAAGUGAAGCUUUCGCAUGAUUUGUAUAAGAAAGUAAUUAGGAUAUCUAUCUAAAUGAUAAUAACUCAAUGAGUACAGAUUGGCAAUUCCACUUUGAAGAUUAUGGAAAGAUACAGAUUUUAUGUUUUAAAACAAUUUUUUAGGAAUAUCAAAGCAGAAAUGUUCUAGAUUUGGAUGAACAAUGAUAUAUUUUGUUUAAAAAGCACGAAAUUGCCCCAGAUUACCUCUUCCAUUAGCAAUGUAUAUAUCAAAAAUGGUGGAAAAUUAUUUUUUUACCACUUAUCUCUCCUUGCAAAAAUAAGGAUGCAUUAGGACUUUCUUCCCUGCCCUUUACUUUUGUAGUUCUACUAACUGUUCACACAAUUAUUAAAUAUGUAUAAGAUUAUAUUAUUAUGUUUUUAUUUAGUUGUUCAGUGAUGUGGUGUUACAUAAAAAGAACACUCGUUUGGGAUCAAGCUUAACUGUGUUUUAGUCUGAGCCUCAGUGACCUUAUUCAUACUCCUUAACCUCUGUGAACUUCUGCUCCCUACACUCCAAAUGGGACUAACUAUACUACCUUGCCUACUUUUAAGUUUGCCAUGAGGAUCAAAUGACAAAAUGCAUAUGAAAAUGACAAGCCAAUGUGUCAUUCUUGCAAUUACCAUCAUUGGUUAGAAAGAUACUGAGCAACAGUUAAACUUUUAAAUCCUGUUUUACUUGUGUUUAUUAUUGAUAGAGUUCUUUCUUCAUAGGUUAUAGCAGAGUUCUCAACAGCAGCGUUAUUGAUAUUUUGGGCCAGAUAAUUCUUGGCUGUGAGGUUAUCCUCUAUGUUGUAGGAUGUUUAGCAUUAUCUCUGGCCUCUACGCAACAGAAGCCAAUAGCACCCCCCCCACAAUAUCCCUUGGCGGAGGCAGAAUCACCAUUGAUUAAGAACUAGAUUACCAUACUGUCGAAAGUCUGAAUCAGUUGAUUCUAAACAGGCAAAAACAAAAACAACAACAACAACAACAACAAAAAGCUUUGGUUAAAGCAGGAAGCCAUUUAAAAAGUGAAUAUACUAAGCAUUUUACUGUAGUUGCAUCAUACAGAAUAUGUGGAAGUUCUUUUCCUGAAGUGGAAACCUUUUCUUUGAGUCAAGUCUUCUGACUGGAGUCUCACCUUCUUUUUUCCUAAAACAGUACUUUAAUGUGUCUUUUUACACUUCAUAUUUCAGAUUUUAACAGUUGAAUGAAAACAAAAAGGCAAGUAUGAAGUAAUCUCAUGGUAGAAGUCAUUCAGAUUUUGUAAUGUUUCUCAAUUUGUUGUAUGUAUCAUCCAUAUAUCGACUAAUAUUAAUGUUGUGGCAACUCGUGCUUUUUGAGUGUUUCCAGAAAUUUCAAUAUGAUUUUCAUUAAAAAUGCCAAUUUUUUUCACUCACAUUGUGUGACAUCAGGUUAAAAAGUUACUGACUUAAAUUUCUUAGAAAUAUUGACUAGAAGAAAAUAUAACAAUAUAAAAUUUAGAGGCGAGUAUGAAAUAUAUUUAAAACUCAUUAAUGAAUACUUUAGGUUCAUUUGCUUAUUUGUACAAAGGAAGCUCGGGUAAUUUCAGUACCUAUGGAAAGAUUUAUACAUUCUGUAAUUAGAUAUUUUUUAAUGCCUGCUGUGAUAAUUUUCGUAAAAAUCUGUCUUAAUGUAACAUUGUUAACACAUGGGUAAUAACAAGUACUUACUGACUUUGUCUUCCUUUUCCCCCAUUUUAUACACAAUUCGGUUAAUGACUAUAGAUUCAGACAACAGUGGUAUAUGUGGUAGCUCAUGCUGUGCACUAGUAUGCUCAGUUUAAUGAUAGAUUUUUUAAAAAGGAUAAUUGCAAAGUUUAUUUGUCCUGCACAACAUCACUGGGAAUACUUUGCAAAGUUUUCAGGGAAGCAGAGAAAACCGAACUAAAGAUAACGGCCUCAGACCCCAGAUAGAUUUUUACUGUCAUGGAUUUGUUAACAAAGUCAAAAUAAUGAGUAACUGACAAGGACUCUUUAAGGUCUACCCAGCUAAAAUGAGCAGUCAGUAUUUUACAUAUUUCACAUGAUAACUCAUCUAUCAUAUUUUACAUGAUAACUUAAGACCCUGUGGGUGCAGGUAUGCAUAUUCUCUUUUAUUACUUUAAUAAAUAUUAUAAAGCCACAACAUGAUUUAAUUUUAGCUCAUUACUAAACUGAGUAUUAGGAGAGCAUUUAGAAUAUAACUUCUUACAACUACAGAAUAUUUUUAAAUGUAUUAUCAGUAUGAAAUACUUAGUCAUCUAUUUAAAAAUAUAAGUUUAUUAAUGGAUUUACUCUGUCCCAGUUUAGGUCAGUUACCUUAAAAAUAUGUUCAUUUGUCUGUUUUUAUUAAUGCUACAUGCCAAACUAAUGACAUGUAAAGUCAUAGAGAAAAGAGAUUUAGCAUUUGAUUUAAUUUAUGUUUCAUUGCAAAAUGCACAGAUUCGAGUAAUCUCAGUUUCGUAAAUUCUUUCCACAUUAAAUACUGAACUAAUUCUGACUUUUUAACUAUACUUGUUAACGUUACUGCAUUAAGUUUUUGAAUCUGUUUGGAUGACUCCCAAAGAGAAGUUUAGUCUUUGAGAAAACCAGAUCUCCUUUGCUUCCAUGAAGAUCUUAGUAAUAUUUAGGCAAUAGAGAGUAAUGAAAAGAGCUUGAACAGUGAAUGUGUCUUUGUCUUCUAGCUAUCAUUCUCCCCAACGUAUUCUGUGUGCCUGAGAAACUUACUUCAUUUCUCAUGAGUCCUCAACAAAUUUUUCUUAUACAGCAUAUGCCAUCUUAAUUAUCUUAAGCAUGUAUGUGAUCACCGCCAGAGGUUCCUUUCUAAUCUUAGGCUGCAAUGGUCUUUGUCAUACAGGAAAAAUGUUUUUAAAAACCAUCAAAAUGUAUCCAUUUUCCUACAUUGGAAUCGAUAUAUGGCACUAUAGAGAUCUUGUGAUGGUAGAAGUCAUGUAUUUGAACAUGAGAAUAUUAAUGACAGCUUGUAACCACAGUCAUUCCUUAUCGUAUCCUAAGAAGUAAGUUUAGUUAUUAAACUGUUUUUGUUUGUUUGUUUGUUUUGCUAUGUCUUGAGUUUAUUUGAAGGGUUGAAGUAUUUGGAAUUGUGUCACGGCAUAGUUCACUGCAAAAUUAAAUUAAUUUAUAUGAAUGAGAUAUGGCAUCAGUAUGGUAAAUUCAUUUCAUUGUUCAAAAUACCUUUUGCGUGUAAGAUUUAGUUCUAUUAAUAAUUCAAGAAAAUUUAAAAAAUAAUUCAUUAUACAUAAAAAAAAAACUACUAAAAAUGCAAACAUCUUGGGAUAGACCAUGGGGUAAGAAAGAAAGGAGAAUGUGUGUUUUAUACUUAAUUAUAUGCUCUUAUCUAAUAAAAUAAAUAUAUGCUUUUAGCUAAUAAAAGAGGUAUAGUGAUAUUAUUCCCAUUUUUCAGUUAACGAAAUGGAGACAUAGAGUAAUUAUGAAACAUGACACAGCUGACAAGUGACAGAGCCAUGAUUCAACUCAGUGUAGCUCAGAAAUCCCCUCAUUACUGUGUUACACUGACUCUCAACUAAAACUAGUUCAGGGAAUAGGCUUAUAGGGUGUUUAAAGUAGUCAGUUUUUGAACAUAGGGCCAUGUCUUUGUUAUUCUUUCUGUCUAAAGUGAAUAUUGUUCUUAGAAAUCAAAGAAGAGAAUAUCUUAGAGAAGGGAGUAGAUUCUCUCAGUCAUUGGGAGAAUAGACUCAAAUAUGCCUUGCAAUAGGUGUUGUUAGAUAAAAUGUCUCAGGUUGUGUAUCACACUUGACCUACUAUGAUGCAAUGACAUUCUUUAACUUAGACAUCGUGUGAAUACUCCUUGUGUUCACUAAGAGGACGUAUAGGCUUUUGUUACCUAGGUCAUAACAGAGAAGCCUUUGUGUACCCUAAUCUGACUCUGUAGCUACAAUUACAUAUCAUUUUUAUUUCUUUCACCCAGCUCUUUGUACAUACAACUUAAAUAUAUAUAUAUAUAUAUAUAUAUAUAUAUAUAUAUAUAUAUAUAUAUACACAUAUAUAUAUAUAAUAUAUAUAUCUUAUUAUUAUAUAUAUAUUAUAUAUAUAUAUGUAUAUAUAUAAUAUACAUAUAUCUCACAGGACACUGUCAUCAGAAGUCACCAAUAAUACAGGAGUGUGCCAUUGAGAGGAUUAGGAGACUCCAAUUUCUGAUAUGAAAGGUGAACUAUAAGAAAACCAGAAAUGGUUUUCUGGCCCAAGAGUUCACAAACCUUUUCUAUAGUAAAUGCUUUAGUUUUUGAGUCACAUGGUAUCUCUGAACUCAACUGCGACAUUGUAGCAUGAAUGUAGCCAUACAUAACAAGUAAAUGAAUGGGUGUUACUGGUAUUCAAUAAAACUUUUCUUACAAUAUAGACAUUGGCUGUAUAUGAUCUAGCAACCAUAAUUUACCAACCUUUGCUCUGUUAAGUAAAAGCCUUUAGAAUGGAUAGAAAUAAGAUGGACGUAGCUCACACAACAAAGCACUUCUUGUCUAUUUAUUUUCUUCACAAGAAGUCUAAGGUAUGAGCACCUAAUUGCAAACUACACCAAGUUCACAAAGGAGAUCAUAAUGUAAAUAAUGGAAGAACAAAAUAUGGUACUUAAAAAUGGUUACCAAAAAUAGAAGUUUGUGGGAAUAUGGUGCAACAAGAAAACACCAAUCAUUCUCCCGUAUGCUGCAGUUUGGGAUUUUGUUGACAUUGGCAUUUCAUCUUUAUUACAUGGAUUUAAGACAACUGAAUUCAUGUUAGUUACAUGAUAUUUACAAAAGUUUAAUUUAAUUUCUGUUCAAAUACUUAAUAUUAUGAGUUCCUGCCUACAUUUCAAAUAUUCCCAAAAGUAUGGAAGUAAGAUAACAGGCAAACUGAAACAAUCUUUUUUGAAAAUAUUUUUGUAGCAGGUUUCUGUAAGAAAGUGUGAGUACAAGUGUUUACAUUUUAUGUUGUUAGAUUCACCACUAGAUUAUGACUAUCUUAAGAACAGGUCCCAUGCCUUAUUCAUUUUUUUUUUUGUCAUUGUCAUUCCCCAUAAUAAUACUUGGGACAAAAUAGUUAAAAGUUUUUGGAGAUGAAAUAGUAAGUAUAGUUCUCCUGUAUAUGGAUAUGUUUUUUCUGCAAUAGUAAACCGAUCCCAUUAAGACAUACAGUUAAGACAUAUUUUUGUAGGCAAGUAUACAGUAGUCUUACUUGACUAUGUAUUUAUGGAAUUCAAUAUUUGCACACACAAACUUUGAUGGAAUAAGUUUUCACAAAAAUCUAGGGGUAUAAUAGAUAAUGCCAAAUAAAUAAAUGUUCAUAUAUAUAGUAGUUAGUUGGUGGUGGAGACAGAUAAAAUAUAUAGUAUUUUCUGGCCAAAAAUAUGUGAUUCAUUGAACUUUUUCACUCAUGAACAUGACUAUUUUAGCUCAAAAGAAAAAAAACAACAUAAUUUUCUAUUUUUCACAUUCAUUUUAGAGGGAAGAAUGAUAUAGUUAUUUCUAGAAAUAGUUGUCUUAAGAACAAUGAAUUUCUUCUCUUUAUAAUAGGGUCCAUUUUAGAUUAUGUUCAUUUAUGUCAAAUUCAUGAAGAGACAGGCGAAGCUUUGAAUUUAGUGUCUGCAGAUUUUCAUUUUCAUUUUCAAAACAAACUAUUUCCUAAGGAAUGCAGAUUUUUUUUAAGGGCAACUAAAAUCUAAAAAAAAUGUUCUCCUUUUUUGUCCUCUUAUUGCUUAAAAAAGUACGUGAACAUACUGUUUUUAAAUUUAGGCUUUUAAAAAAUUGUCCUCAUGCUGAGUUCUUGUUUGCCAAGUUUCAGCUUGGAGAGAAUCUUUAUAGCUUUUAUAAAACCCUGAAAAUAGAAAAUUUUAAAUGGAAAUCCUUACACACCCUUAGUGACGGCCACAAAUCUUGCCACUUUUUGAGAAUGAAGGUAAUUUUUUAGUAUUUAAGGAUGGUAGCAACAAGUUGAUGUGAUAGUUUCUAAAGGGCAGAGCUUUUGUUUAGUUGUGUGUUAGAUAUGUUACACUGGUUUAUCAUAUUAAGAUUUAGCUGUAUGUUCAUACAUUUUGUAUGUGCUAUAACAAUUUUAAAUUUUAGAGUGCAUUUGUCCUCCACCAAAUAUAGUUUAUAUGUAGAAGCAUGUUUUAUCCAUCUUUUUGACAUGUCACCUAUUAUUUAACUUGACUAAUGAUUUAACUGGCAAGUGAUUCACCUUGGAAGUUAGAUUUGCUGAAGUUGAAUAAGCUGUUGUCCUCUCAUUUUUAUCAAGGGUCAGUUGCCCUUUGGGAAACCCAGAAUAUGUCAGAUCUUUGACAACUGUAAAGGGCAAACAGACAAACAAAAGUCUGUAAGACUAAUAGUCCUUGAGACAAGCACAUGAAUGAGUGAUGAAAUAUUGCUUUACUACAUCCUGAAAAUUCUUCACAUUUAUUUCUUCAGUUGAAUGAAGCUUUCUAACAUCUGUGUCUGGAAGUAAUUCUGAUAACCUUGACAUUCAAAAUGGAGAUAAAGGAUAGAUAGCUUCCCACAAAAUGCUUCAGUAUGGCAAGAGGAAUUAUCUAAUAUUGAUAAAUAAAGCAACGUGACAUCUGUGUUGAAUUCCAAAUUGACUUGUUGAGCUGUGUAAAAAGGUAAAAGAAGGUGCUUGUUUUAAAGAUGUGAAAUACAUUGGGAAAAGCCAAGGUCAAAGAUGAAGCAUAACUCAAUGCCAAAGAGUUUCAAUCUUAAUGAAAAUCUCUUUCAAUAAGAAAUUGACAAUUGAGAAACAGUGUCAUUGUUAGAAGUUCAACAUUCUUUUGGGGAUCUAAUAGACAAAUCCCCAGAGAGCUGACUUGUAUUAAUAGAUAGCUUAAAAUUUAUAGUUUAGGAAGAACAGACUAAUAGUUUUUGGAGUAAAGCCUGAAUUAUAGAGGGAUGACCUGAGCCCUGGCGUGAGUGAUCAAUCAGUUGAGUGUCUGCAACUGCACAAUUUUAAGAACUCUUAAAAGGUUCUUUGACCACUGAAAAUGCAUUAUAAAGAAUAAGUCCAUGACCAGCCAAGUCUGGAAUAUAUGUUUGUAUUGCUAUACAGAUCCACUGUUUAUUUAAAAAGUAAAGUAAAAGGUAUGACACAGGUUGCUUUGCUGCCAUGGAUGAUUGAAUUGAACUUUGAAGGAUAAGUGGGAUGUCCUGGGUAAAAUGUGGAUGCUGGAGGAGGAUACACAGAGGCUAAUUUGAAUCCAUGAGAUUUUUCCAUUAAGGAAAUAGAGUUGGAAUUAAAGACGUAAAAAUCUUGAAUACCAAGCUAAGAAUUUGAAUUUAACUUGUUAUUCAGGGUGCAGCCAUUGACGUUUUCAAAUGAGAAAAAUGCUUCAUGCAGAUUAGUUAUACUGCAAUAUUGGCAGGAAAGGUAGAGAUCAGUGGGAAAAGACCUCUGGAAACCUGUUGAACAGUGAGUACUUCCAGGGUAAAGCUACAGCAGGCAGGACAGCAGAGUGGUGGCCUAGGCACUGUAUAUAAAAGCAAAGAUGAGACACAGAUGGAAGGAAAAUUCCUAGGGUCCCGUGAGACACUGGAUAUUGAGUGAGAGAUAAUUCAAAGAAUGAAGAGUCACUGAUGUCUCGAGCUCAACUUACUAGGACAUCAACGGGUUCCUUAUUUGUUUUCUGUAACUCUCAAAGUGGAUCAACUUCUUUCAAACUUCUCUAGUGGAAAUUCUGUUUUGGUUACUUUUCGUCUCUGAAAAUGAUAAGAACAGUAAUUAGCCAUGAAGGAACCACUUACUGCAUUGCAGAUGAUUAGACAAUUGACAAUACCAACAAAAAUUGAAUUGGAUUCUUUAGGUUUAAUAUUUAGCCUAAACUAGCAUAUUUCACCUGCUCUGUGCCACGCUCACUGCUGAUUCCUGAGAUAUUCACUGAACCCUUCCCCACACUUGGCAGUGAGUUCCUUGAUGACAGGUAUUUAUUUUUUAUCUGUCUCCAUAACCUCAGCUCUUAAUUCCAUUCGUAGCACUUAACAGAUGUUCUAUAUAUGAUAAUUAAACGAUAGAAGCCUAGUGUGAUUUUCCAGCUUUGCCUGGAAUAGGUCCUGCUCCAAUAGGAACUCCUCUACCUCUUUAAAGAGAUAAAAUAAGGAGUUCGGCUUCAGGGAAAACACCUUGUAGAUUCCAUUUAUCAUUACUUUUCUAGGUUGUUGUCAUACAGUGAAAAAAAAAAAAAAAGCUGACACAUUUCUUUCCAGCCUUACACAGUAACACAGUAUAAGGAGCCAUAGAGAGGAAUUUUAAGGUAGGAGGGGAGUAUUUGAUUGUUCAAUAUUUUUGUUUAAUUCAGGAGAAGGAAAGCCCCAAAUGCUACCUAAACAUAAACUCACAAUUCAAAACAUUUUAGAAAUUAUCUGGCAACUUUACAUAGAGUCCAAGUAUUUCCAGGUUAUGCUGAAAGAUGCCUCGAAGUUUAAGUACCCCCAGGGAAAGCAUAUCAAAGGUUAGAGACCAUUUAGACUCACUUCCAAAAGGAUCUGGCCUCAGAGUUUUGCAGUAGUGAGCAAAAAUUCUAGAAAGGUCUAGGUUCAGAAACCAUAGCAAAGUUGCAAGAAAAAGGUUUCCUAGCUUCUGUUUCUUAUGCCAUUCAAUAAGAUUUAGAAGGAAAUGCAGCCAAAUUUAAUGGUCGUUACCUGAUGAAAAACAGACAUCCUUUGGAUUAUCCUCAAGCAGAACUGAACAGAACUAAAUGCAA